rnacentral:rRNA from 1 species
CUUGGUCAUUUAGAGGAAGUAAAAGUCGUAACAAGGUCUCCGUAGGUGAACCUGCGGAGGGAUCAUUACAGAGUUCAUGCCCUUACGGGUAGAUCUCCCACCCUAUGUUAUUAUUACCUUUGUUGCUUUGGCGGGCCGUCAGGCCUCGGUCAGGCUAUCGGCUCCGGCUGGUAAGCGCCCGCCAGAGGACCCAAAAACUCUGAAUGUUAAUGUCGUCUGAGUACUAUAUAAUAGUUAAAACUUUCAACAACGGAUCUCUUGGUUCUGGCAUCGAUGAAGAACGCAGCGAAAUGCGAUAAGUAAUGUGAAUUGCAGAAUUCAGUGAAUCAUCGAAUCUUUGAACGCACAUUGCGCCCCUUGGUAUUCCGAGGGGCAUGCCUGUUCGAGCGUCAUUGCAACCCUCAAGCAUUGCUUGGUAUUGGGCUCCGCUGCUCACCCAGCGGGCCUUAAAAUCAGUGGCGGUGCCGUCGAGGCCCUGAGCGUAGUAAAUAUCCUCGCUAUAGGGACUCGGUGGACGCUGGCCAUUAACCCCCAACUUUCUAAGUUUGACCUCGGAUCAGGUAGGGAUACCCGCUGAACUUAAGCAUAUCAAUAA